UUUAGAUGGUGGGUUGGAUUUUGUUGUUUUGUUGUUUUGUUCAGAGUGUGUGUGUGUGUGUGUGUAGGGAAUAAUCAGCUGAAUUGCAUGAAACAAGUGCCAGAGUAUUACUCUCAGUGCGUGACUGCUAACUGUGCUAACAUUCUCUGAGGAAAGGCACUACAAACAGCUUAAAUGUUAAGGCAAAAAUCUAUUCUAGCUAGAUUUUUAAAUGGAUGCUGUUAAUUAUAGAUUACAUAGUUAAGUCUAAAAAGACAAUAUAUACUUGAUGUUUAUUGUAAAUAUCUUUUUCCAUAUCUAGAAAAAUUAUAAUACAAGAGGAGUUUCUGAAGUGCACAACACUCACGUGAAGUAACAGCAUUGUAUCAUCUGCCAUAAUAUUUUAUAAAUGUGGGGGCAUCUUGUUCAUCCUUUGAAGACAGUAAAAUCAGUCUCCUUGUAUGCUGCUGGUAGCAUGCUUCAUAUCACCAAAACUACAUUCUGCAGUAUCUUUUGUCUCUUGCACAUUCUUUCUGAACUUGACACCAGUGUAAACACUAAUUUCUGUUUAGUCAGAGUGAACAGAAGAGCUUACAGGAAAAGUGAUCAGGUACUCUACAGGGUCUUACAUUACAUAAUAAAUCUAGCAUUCAGAAUUGGUCAGCUUGCAUUAUUACCCAGUGAAAAUGAAAGAAAAAUUAUAAAGGGAAUGAGAGGAUUUUUGGGGGGUUUAUGUCCUUGUAUUUUUUUAUCUAAAAAAGACAGGGAAAACUUUUCUUUUGAAGCAUGCUCUGAAAUACACCUUGAAAACCUGCUUUACAUUAUAGUUGUUUGUUGGUCAAUAAAAUGUACAUCAAGUGAUUGACUCUUAUAAGAAUCCGUUUUUGAAAAUAAGCAACAUUUCCAGUUGCCAGGUCUGCAAACUUGAUCUGCGUUCAGAGUCCAGCUGAAUCUUUUUCCCACACUGGUAUAGUAAGUUUUCUGCAAGUAAUCCCUUUGCUUCAGCUCACUGGAAUUUAGUAAAUAAUUUGGUCAUGCCCAAGAAGGAAUAGAAUUCAGCUUAGGCUCUUAGCAAUGUUGCCUCUGCAGGCACUGUGGGGGUGAACAUCACUGACAACUUUUUUAUGACCGAACAUAGCAGACACUUGCAAUGUGUGAGAAAGGAAAUGCUGUGGGAUGCUAACUGUGGUAUGGCUCAUUCUGUUACUGUUCCUCAGAUAAAUAACCACACCUAAGUUUUAGAUUGUGUUUUAUGCAAGUUUUCUUGUUUUAGUUUCUUAAUCAAGAAUGAACUGUAACUAUAUAAUCUUAAAACACAGAAGAGUGGUCUGAAAAUGGAGCCUGCACGGAAACAACUGGGAAGGACAGAAAGGUUUGGGUGUCUCAAUUUUUUCCUUUGUGAUCCUAAAGACAGAAUGUGGAGUGUCUUUGAUAAUGCGUACAUCUUUCCGUUUUCUGACUUUUUUAGCUAGGCAGCUGGAAAACAAAACCUUUGUUCUGUUCUUAGUGGAGAAACUUAUGUUUGCCCUUGAGUUUUAAAGAAUAUCAGAUUCUUAAAAUGUACUUAAAAUGUAUUUGCAUUUUCAGUAUAAUAUAUUAAAAUUAACACUUCAAAGCUUAAGAUACUAUGUUUGAGAUUGUCUAGAAUGAUGUUAGAACUAGGGUCACUUCUGAAGCUGUAAUGUUUGGCGUUGUGUAAAAGCAGCUGCAACGUAAACCAAGCAUACAUUGUUUUUAAGACAAACUUUUUAAGCCUCUGAAGAGCUAUAAGCAAUUCCCUUUUUUUCAGGAGGGACUUUAACAUAGCUGCUACAAAUAAUUUAGGACAAAGAAAGGUAAGGGAACAGCCAGAAGCUUAAAGUGGCAGGAUUUCUUAAUACUAUUCUAUUGUCUUCUAACUCUACAGCCUUUGAGAUUUUUUAUCGAGGUAACUUGUAUAUCAGUUGUUCUUUCCAGUAGGAGAAAACAGCAGCAUAUCAGUAAAAUUCCUGCCUGGAUGGCUGUCAAAUGACAAAGUUGACUAAUACCUUUAGGAGACCAGGACAGAGGUGACAAUAGAGAGGAGUGAGGAGCUGGGCCAGGGAGGACUCCUGAGAAGUUGUGAAUAAAGAGAUGUGGAGCAAACACCAGAGAGACGGCAGGACUACCACAGCCUUCUGAGUUUCAAAAACUGCGGGAUCUGAGAGAGCUCCAUGGUGCUCAGUGUUGCAAAGCCAAAGCUUCCCCUUCUGCUGAAUGUUAAAGAACCAUGCUUUCCUAUUCUUCCUGUCUUAAGAAGCUCCUAAAUAUGGGCUUAUUCUGGCAAGACCCAUAGAUCUAACACACUGAGAAAGCCACUAAAUUUCCUGGAUUCCUACAGUGGGUCCAACUUCAGAAUUGACAGUACUAGACUGAAGGAAUAGUGGCGAAAAGGUACGCAAGUAGGAGACACAAUAAUAGAAAUUAUGCUCUCACAGUAAUAAAUUUAUCACAGAUAAAUUAGUGCAGAAGACCUGCAAGGCAAGGAGGGAUAGGCUUGGCACAGAAAUGGAUUAGUAAGUAGAAAGGUUUUUCUGAACACUACGACCAGCCAACAUUGCUUCUAAAAUGAUUGUGUGAUGUGCUGUUGAUUGUACUUGUUAGUCUAGCAGUAAAUUCUGAAUCAUGAAUGUACCUGAGACUGUCUUCAACAAAAUUUGUGCCUUGUCUUAGUACAGCGAGUGGAAAGAGCAAGGAGCUAUUGUUACUACUCCUGAAUACUUCUUUUCAAUGGGGCUGUGUUUAGAAGAGUAGAAUUUGACAAAUAAAUUAGGAAUUUGGGGCAUUUUCUGACUUGAUGAAAUUUAAAUAGUUAAUGAUUGUUUACACUCAAAAUCUGAGGAAUUGUGGCAUGCCUCAGCUAGACUAUGCAAAAGUGCCUGUACAUGCUUGGAACUGGUGUUUUCCUUUUGAUAGGAGGUUGGGCAAGGCAGUAAGGAUUCCUUUGUUUUGCUAGGGAAAGCAGAACACUCCUUGAAAGAACUUCCUUGUUGAACUGAAAUAGGUAGGAAUACAGUGCUGGACUAGAAGUUUUCCAUUUUUUCUUCAUCUUUCAAGUCUAUGGAUUUGCAGUGGCACAUCAUGUUGCUCUUCCUUUGCCCUCAUGCUUCUGAUAGGAUUUGUUAAGUAGCUCCUGAAUAACCACACUCUGGGCACAGCCUUCUGUGUGGCUGCUCUGU